GCCUUCCGGGUAACUCCCCUGGGAUGCAGCCAUCUCGGAAGCUAAGCAGGGUCGGGCUCGGUUAGUACUUGGAUGGGAGACCACCUGGGAAUCCCGGGUGCUGUAGGCU
rnacentral:rRNA from 1 species